rnacentral:rRNA from 1 species
GGUUCGAUCCUGGCUCAGAUUGAACGCUGGCGGGAUGCUUUACAUGCAAGUCGAACGGCAGCACGGACUUCGGUCUGGUGGCGGAGUGGCGAACGGGUGAGUAAUGUAUCGGAACGUGCCUAGUAGGGAUAACUACGCGAAAGCGUAGCCAAUACCGUGACACGCCCUUCGGGGGAAAGCGGGGACCUUCGGGCCUUCGCACUAUUAGAGCGGCUGAUAUCGGAUUAGCUAGUUGGUGGGGUAACGGCUCACCGCGGCGACGAUCCGUAGCUGGUUUGAGAGGACGACCAGCCACACUGGGACUGAGACACGGCCCAGGCUCCUACGGAGGCAGCAGUGUGGGAAUUUUUGACAAUGGGGAAACUUUGAUCCAGCCAUCCUUGAGCGUGUGCGAUGAAGGCUCGGGUUGUAGCAAUUUCUGGCAGAGCGAAACGGCACGGGAUAAUACCCUGUGCAACUGACGGUACCUGCAGAAUAGCGACCGCCAACUACGUGCCAGCAGCCGCGGUAAUACGUAGGGUGCAAGCGUUAAUCGGAAUUACUGGGCGUAAAGCGUGCGCAGGCGGUUCGGAAAGAAAAGAUGUGAAAUCCAGAGCUUAACUUUUGAACUGCAUUUUUAACUACCGAGCUAGAGUGUGUCAGAGGGAGGUGGAAUUCCGGUGUGUAGUAUGGAAAUGCGUAGAUAUGCGGAGAACACCGAUGGCGAAGGCAGCCUCCCGGGAUAACACUGACGCUCACAAAAAUGAAAGCGGGAGCAAACAGGAUUAGAUACCCUGGUAGUCCACGCCCUAAAACGAUGUCACCAGCUGUUGGGGCCUUCGGGCCUUGGUAGGUAGCGCAGCUAACGCGUGAAGUUGACCGCCUGGGGAGCAGCAUGGUCGCAAGAUUAAAACUCAAAGGAAUUGACGGGACUCCGCACACAAGUGGUGGAUGAUGUGACGACGGCUGCAACGCGAAAACCCUACCUACCCUUGACAUGUCUGGAAUCCCGAAGAGAUUUGGGAGUGCUCGCAAGAGAACCGGAACACAGGUGCUGCAUGGCUGUCGUCAGCUCGUGUCGUGGAUGUUGCUAGUCCCGCAACGAGCGCAACCCUUGGUCACGGUUGCUACAGAAGGGCACUCUAAUGAGAUCGCCGGUGACAAACCGGAGGAAGGUGGGGAUGACGUCAAGUCCUCAUGGCCCUUAUGGUAGGCUUCACACGUCAAGUACAAUGGUCGGGACAGAGGGUCGCCAACCCGCGAGGGGGGAGCCAAUCCCAGAAACCCGAUCGUAGUCCGGAUCAGAAGUCUGCAACUCGACUUCCGCAGUCGGAAUCGCUAGUAAUCGCGGAUCAGCAUGUCGCGGUGAAUACGUUCCCGGGUCUUGUACACACCGCCCGUCACACCAUGGGAGUGGGUUUUACCAGAAGUAGUUAGCCUUAACCGUAAGGAGGGCGAUUACCACGGUAGGAUUCGCGACUGGGGUGAAGUCGUAACAAGGUA